rnacentral:rRNA from 1 species
UACGUAGGGGGCAAGCGUUGUUCGGAAUUACUGGGCGUAAAGGGCGCGUAGGCGGCACGGCAAGUCAGGAGUGAAAGCCCUGGGCUCAACCCGGGAACUGCUUUUGAGACUGCCGAGCUAGAGUGCGGAAGGGGCAACUGGAAUUCCCAGUGUAGCGGUGAAAUGCGUAGAUAUUGGGAAGAACACCUGAGGCGAAGGCGGGUUGCUGGGCCGACACUGACGCUGAGGCGCGAAAGCCAGGGGAGCGAACGGG